rnacentral:rRNA from 1 species
UACCAGCACCCCGAGUGGUCGGGACGAUUAUUGGGCCUAAAGCAUCCGUAGCCGGUUCUGCAAGUCCCCCGUUAAAUCCAGCUGCUCAACAGAUGGGCCGCGGAGGAUACUACAGAGCUAGGAGGCAGGAGAGGCAAGCGGUACUCAGUGGGUAGGGGUAAAAUCCGUUGAUCCAUCGAAGACCACCAGUGGCGAAGGCGGCUUGCCAGAAUGCGCUCGACGGUGAGGGAUGAAAGCUGGGGGAGCAAACCGG